rnacentral:rRNA from 1 species
GUUCUGUAAGCCUGUGAAGGUGUACUGUGAGGUAUGCUGGAGGUAUCAGAAGUGCGAAUGCUGACAUAAGUAACGAUAAAGCGGGUGAAAAGCCCGCUCGCCGGAAGACCAAGGGUUCCUGUCCAACGUUAAUCGGGGCAGGGUGAGUCGACCCCUAAGGCGAGGCCGAAAGGCGUAGUCGAUGGGAAACAGGUUAAUAUUCCUGUACUUGGUGUUACUGCGAAGGGGGGACGGAGAAGGCUAUGUUGGCCGGGCGACGGUUGUCCCGGUUUAAGCGUGUAGGCUGGUUUUCCAGGCAAAUCCGGAAAAUCAAGGCUGAGGCGUGAUGACGAGGCACUACGGUGCUGAAGCAACAAAUGCCCUGCUUCCAGGAAAAGCCUCUAAGCAUCAGGUAACAUCAAAUCGUACCCCAAACCGACACAGGUGGUCAGGUAGAGAAUACCAAGGCGCUUGAGAGAACUCGGGUGAAGGAACUAGGCAAAAUGGUGCCGUAACUUCGGGAGAAGG